GGGGCAUAUUGGGCAAUGGACGCAAGUCUGACCCAGCAACGCCGCGUGAAGGAAGAAGGCUUUCGGGUUGUAAACUUCUUUUAAGGGGGAAGAGUAGAAGACGGUACCCCUUGAAUAAGCCACGGCUAACUACGUGCCAGCAGCCGCGGUAAUACGUAGGUGGCAAGCGUUGUCCGGAUUUACUGGGUGUAAAGGGCGUGUAGCCGGGAAGGUAAGUCAGAUGUGAAAUCUGGGGGCUCAACCGUGGAACUGCCUUUGAUACUGCUUAGCUUGAAUCCGGGAGAGGGUGGCGGAAUUCCAGGUGUAGGAGUGAAAUCCGUAGAUAUCUGGAGGAACAUCAGUGGCGAAGGCGGCCAGCUGGACCGGUAUUGACGCUGAGGUGCGAAAGCGUGGGGAGCAAACA
rnacentral:rRNA from 1 species